GACGAACGCUGCCGGCAUGCCUAAUACAUGCAAGUCGAGCGAACAGAUGAAGUGCUUGCACUUCUGACGUUAGCGGCGAACGGGUGAGUAACACGUAAGGAAUCUACCUAUAAGCGGGGGAUAACAUUCGGAAACGGGUGCUAAUACCGCAUAAUAUCUUCUUCCGCAUGGAAGAAGAUUGAAAGACGGCUCUGCUGUCACUUAUAGAUGACCUUGCGGUGCAUUAGUUAGUUGGUGGGGUAACGGCCUACCAAGACGAUGAUGCAUAGCCGACCGGAGAGGGUGAUCGGCCACAUUGGGACUGAGACACGGGCCAAACUCCUACGGGAGGCAGCAGUAGGGAAUCUUCCGCAAUGGGCGAAAGCCUGACGGAGCAAUGCCGCGUGAGUGAAGAAGGCCUUCGGGUCGUAAAACUCUGUUAUAAGAGAAGAACAAAUUGUAGAGUAACUGCUACAGUCUUGACGGUAUCUUAUCAGAAAGCCACGGCUAACUACGUGCCAGCAGCCGCGGUAA
rnacentral:rRNA from 1 species